rnacentral:rRNA from 1 species
GACGAACGCUGGCGGCGUGCUUAACACAUGCAAGUCGAACGGUGAUCUUGAGAGCUUGCUCUUGGGUGAUCAGUGGCGAACGGGUGAGUAACACGUGAGUAACCUGCCCCUGACUCUGGAAUAACUUCGGGAAACCGAAGCUAAUACCGGAUAUGACACAGAAUCGCAUGGUUUCUGUGUGGAAAGUUUUUCGGUUGGGGAUGGACUCGCGGCCUAUCAGCUUGUUGGUGAGGUAAUGGCUCACUAAGGCGACGACGGGUAGCCGGCCUGAGAGGGCGACCGGCCACACUGGGACUGAGACACGGCCCAGACUCCUACGGGAGGCAGCAGUGGGGAAUAUUGCGCAAUGGGCGAAAGCCUGAUGCAGCGACGCCGCGUGAGGGAUGAAGGCCUUCGGGUUGUAAACCUCUUUCAGUAGGGAAGAAGCGCAAGUGACGGUACCUACAGAAGAAGCACCGGCUAACUACGUGCCAGCAGCCGCAGUAACAC